rnacentral:lncRNA from 1 species
AAAAAUUAUAAACUUUAAUGAUAUUAAAUCACUGACAAAAUGAUAUUAAAAUUAAAUUAUAAAUAAUAAAUUUCGAACUAUAUAAUCAGCGGUGUGAAGGAAGCCCCAUUUAAAAAGUAUAAUGAAUUUGCAAACAUGAUCAAAACAAAAUUCCCACUAGAAUAGACUACCACCUUCACCAUCUCACAUACCUAUUUAUCAAAUCUGCUGAACAGCAAAUUAAAUGUUUAAUACAGCACUCGACAUUCCUAGCUGCAGUUUUAUGAUUUUGCUACUGCUAUGUUGCAAUCCCGCAAAUUGCUGUAGUAAUGGCAUUUUAUUUCUCCUGUCAAUCAUUUCUCUUGUGUGCACUAAUAAGUAAUUUUGCAAUCUCCUAACUAGGUGAUCCUCCCUAAACAAUUUUGGUACUACAAAUCUGAAUUCAUACAGUUAUUUGAUUUCACAAUUUAUACGAUAUUUAGGAUAGCACUCCAU